rnacentral:rRNA from 1 species
CUAUAUGGAGAGUUUGAUCCUGGCUCAGGACGAACGCUGGCGGCAUGCCUAAUACAUGCAAGUCGAGCGGAGUCAUUUUGGAAGCUUGCUUCCAAAAUGACUUAGCGGCGGACGGGUGAG